rnacentral:rRNA from 1 species
CACGUAGGGCGCAAGCGUUGUCCGGAAUUAUUGGGCGUAAAGAGCUCGUAGGCGGUCUGUUGCGUCCGCUGUGAAAACUCGGGGCUUAACCCCGAGCCUGCAGUGGAUACGGGCAGACUAGAGGUAGGUAGGGGAGAAUGGAAUUCCCGGUGUAGCGGUGAAAUGCGCAGAUAUCGGGAGGAACACCGGUGGCGAAGGCGGCGACCUGGUCCGAUACUGACGCUGAGGCGCGAAAGCGUGGGGAGCAAACAGG